CACGUAGGGGGCGAGCGUUGUCCGGAUUUAUUGGGCGUAAAGAGCUCGUAGGUGGCUCGGUAAGUCGGGUGUGAAAUUUCGAGGCUCAACCUCGAGACGCCACCUGAUACUGCUGUGGCUAGAGUCCGGUAGGGGAGCGUGGAAUUCCUGGUGUAGCGGUGAAAUGCGCAGAUAUCAGGAGGAACACCAGCGGCGAAGGCGGCAUCCUGGUCCUGUUCUGACGCUGAGGCGCGAGAGCGUGGGGAGCGAACUGG
rnacentral:rRNA from 1 species